GCCCGGGUGGCGGAACUGGUAGACGCAAGGGACUUAAAAUCCCUUGGCCGGUAACGGCCGUGCCGGUUCGAAUCCGGCCUCGGGCACCA
rnacentral:tRNA from 1 species